rnacentral:rRNA from 1 species
CAAUAGCGUAUAUUAAAGUUGUUGCAGUUAAAAAGCUCGUAGUUGGAUUUCUGGUCGGAAGCUCCUGUCCUCUGAUGAGCGUACAAGUGCGUCCUACCAUCCUUCUGUUAACCUUUAAGGCUUUCGCGGCUUUCUAGGGGCUCAGAUAUUUUACCUUGAGAAAAUUAGAGUGUUUCAGGCAGGCUAGCGCCGGAAUACAUUAGCAUGGAAUAAUGGAAUAGGACUUUUGCCUCUUCUGUUGGUCAUGAGGCUCGAGUAAUGAUUAAUAGGGAUAGUUGGGGGCAUUAGUACUUAACUGUCAGAGGUGAAAUUCUCGGAUUUGUUAAAGACUAACUUAUGCGAAAGCAUUUGCCAAGGAUGUUUUCAUUAG